rnacentral:sRNA from 1 species
UUGAGUUCAAGGCUAACUUGCUCUACAGAGUGAGUUCCAGCGCUACACAAGAAAUCCUCUUACUAAAAGAGAAACAAGGCUGGAAGGAUAUACAUGGAAGUCUAUAAUCCCAGAAUUUGGAUUUGAAGGAGGAUUAUGUGUUCAAGACCAUCUCCAAUCUGAACUACAAUAAAAUAGACAAGUUCUCAAAAACAUCAACUAUUACAGACAGCUGAGAUGGCUCAGCAGGGAAAGGUACUUGCAGCCAAGCUUGACAAGCUGAGCUUAAAUCCUCAAGAUCCAAAAGAUGGAAGGAGAGAGCUGACUCCCACAGCACCCCGACACCCAUGUGCACAUUAUAGUUUGCAUAUGCCGCCCACCCUCAUGCAAAUUUGAUAAAUAAGAUGUAACUGUGGGUACAGUUCUUUAAGUGUCUUUUGUGUGCUGGAUUGAUGGUCACAAGGUGCCUUGUUUUGUGCCUAUGCCAACAUGCUUUUGUUUCCCUGUGAAGUUUGAAAGGUGAGACUGCUGUUCAUGUCAUCUUGGUUAGCAGUUAUGUUCAUUCAAUGCCAGACACAUGUCAUUUCUGAGCACUGUGAUCAAGUUCUGGGAGGCUCCCCUUUCUCAGUGAAUUGGCAUUUGCUACCUGUGACCUUUAACACUGAUUUCCACUUCGUAAUUUCUACAUUUAGAUGGUGGCGUGUCACAGAGAUUCUUCUCUUGGCACUUAAGGUUCUUAACACCUUCUGUGACUAAAUGUCCAUUUCUCCCUUAGCUCUGUAAAAUCAUAUGCUACCAUUUCAUCGAACGGCUUUUCUAGUCCUUUAGAUUUUUCUUUUGUUAACUUGUUUUGGAGAUUUAAUAAUAGUUCUAUGUACAUGAGUGUUCUGUCUGCUUGAGUAUGUGUGCCUUGUGUGCUGCCUUUUGGGUGGUGGUAGACCACAGCAUAGUGGGUGCUGGAAACUGAGCCUAAGUUCUCUGCAAGAACAGCAAGUUAUCUUAACUGUUGAGCCAUCUCUCUUGGCCCCUGAACUCCUAGGUUUUAUUUCAAGCCUUCUUUCUACCCUUAGUAUUCAUAGGUUUGGCCUCUUGCUUGUGUCUCAUAAUUUGUUAAGGUUGUAAUAACGUUUGUUUUUGCUUUAGGUGUUUUUGCCUGGAUUUUGGUUGGAUUUUUGUUUCUGAGACAGGGUCUUACUAUGCAGUGCUGGCUGAUUUGGAACUCUCUAUGUAGACCAUAUUACUCUAUAACUCACAAAGAUCUACUUGUCUCCGUCUCCCAAGUGAUGGGAUUGGAUUAAUGGCUUACACAACCUCACACUGACCCUGUCCAAUGUCAUUUUUAUGGAUUAGGCUGGCUUCCGUCUUUGUAUCUCAGGAUAACUUUGAAAAUUUUUAGCCACCUGCCUCUCCACCCUGAAUGAGUGGCCAUACCUCUGGAUUAUAUGCUGCCGAGAAUCAAACCCAGGACCAUGUGUAUGCUAUACAAGCCCUCUACUAAUUGAACCCAACCUUACUACCCUCAUGUUUUGACCUCACCAUUAUGUUGGGCUGUUCAAAAAGAGUCUCACAGCUUGAGAGAUGGCUCAGCAGCUAAGAGUAUGUUAUGUUUGUACAGAGGAAAAGGUCUCCACCUUUUCAGUGCCCAUCUGGAGUCUUCCAAAUGCUUUUAUUGGAUGUCUAUAUGUCUUUCUAUGCACAUGCCUGCCACACCACUGAUUGAUACACCUACCAUCUAGCUUACGCAGACUUUGACAAUGUAUUUAAAAUAUUAAAGUUUAAUAGUUUUCACAUGUACUAUGUUGAUGAAGUCAAAUAAAUUCCUCUUCAGAUCUCAGCCUCUCUGCUGGCUUUACAAUAUAUCAAUAUACCUUAGUGCAUGCUUUAUUUCCAUUCUAUUUUAUUUUUUCUUUUAUUCAUCAUGAGACCUGCUUGUGGCUAGGCUUUACCCACCAAUGUCUCAGUUUCAUUUGCUAACACAAGAUCCACUCACUGUCCCUGGGAAACACUCAAUUGCAGGUAAAGUCCACUGUAUACCAGGCAAAAAUACAAGGCCAACAGUCUCUCACACCACACUAAAGGCCUCUCCAGGAGCUCCUGCCCUUCAGUCUGGGAAAGGAUGAAUGGGCAGAAGUCUGUGCAGACACUACAAGAUCCUAUGUCACAUGCCUACACAAACACACAAACUUAACCAACUCUUUAUAAUAACACAUGAAGAUAAUGCCAAAUUAAAA